UGUUCGUCGCCGAUAAGGAAAGGUGAUUUAUGCGAGAGACAAACCUCAGAUGCUGAUGUUGUUCUGGAACAUCACUACGUUUGAUCAACUGAAGAGGGAGCUGAUUCGUUGGUUAGAUGGGAAAAUACCAGAAGGGGAAAAAAUUAGAAGUAUUGAGAGACUUGACAAUAUCUUUGGUUGGGUGCGAAUGAAGACUGAUAAGGAUGCUAGGGAAAUGAUGUUCGGUCGAGACGACAUCAAUUUAAUUGUUAUAAUCAGUUAGAAAUAUUUCUGUUUUCAGAUAGCUUAUUUUGUACUGAUGUUUGUUGUGAACCUCGUUGUAACAAAAACUUAAUGAUAUAUAAUGAUUGAAGGUUACAGAAAUACAAUGUAAGAAAUAUUUCUGUUUUCAGAUAGCUUAUUUUGUACUGAUGUUUGUUGUGAACCUCGUUGUAACAAAAACUUAAUGAUAUAUAAUGAUUGAAGGUUACAGAAAUACAAUGU
rnacentral:lncRNA from 1 species